GAGCUCUGUGGCGAGUAGCGGGCGCCUUUUCUUCUUUUCAUUGCUAUCAGCGGCAGACGACGUAUGCGCGCUCACUCUGUCUCUUGCUCUCUCCUUUUUUUCCCCUCUCUCUCGUGUACAUCACGCGAUGUCCAAUGCGGAGUCGAGGGCUUGUGUGGAUUUGCUCAUCGAGGGAGCGGUGCUGCGGCGUGUAAUCGGUCUCUCUAAAAGUCGGAUAGAGCAAGAUGAAAGGAAGCGCGACGCUGGCUGAAGAGCGAUGAUGCUGCCGGUGAGCGGGAAGGCCGAUGCAGAGGAUGGGUAGCGAUGCAUCGCUCGCGCUCUCUUGCACUAUUCUGCCUACGCAUACAGCCAUCCACAUGGAUUGUGUGGAUGUUUUUCUGCAUGAAAGUGUGUCAUGAAAGGGUCUCGCUACCGCGCGCGCGUGCCCUAUGAUGUAGAUGCACACUAGAUUAUGGGUGUGCCGGUGAGUGAUAGCAGCUGCAGCUUCUAUCGCGUUUAUGCGUCUCUCGUUUGCAUGGCGUCAGCGUGUGUGGCUACCGGGGAUGCCGGUCGAAAGCGAGUGUAAGAGGCGGUGGCGAAGACGACGAUGAGGAGGAGCAAGGAUUACCGGGAGAAGGCGGAAGGCCGCAUGGCGGGGGGCUCGCUCCCGGUGAAGCGAGGCUGAGGCUUUUGUGUUGUGUUUUCUUUCACCAUCGCGCUACGUUUAUUGACGCUCUUUCUUUUAGUUUCUCGGCUCCUUUUUGCUGUCCAUGUUGAUGUUCUCUCUCCCACCCUCCCCGUCUCGCCCUCACGCAGCUCUCGCAUACCUUCUCUUUUCUCCACUUUAUUCAGCGGUUUUGGCUGCAUGAGUAUGUUUCUCUCUCUCUCCCCUGCAUGUGCAUGCUGGUUUCCAUGGGCGAGUGCGUAUGCAGUUUCCAAUGUUCGUCUCGUCACACUUCAUUGUCUUCACUCCCUAUCGGCCGCUAAGCCUUGACGGCUCUGCCGGUGUGGACAAACAUAUCCUCUCUUUCACCCUCUCGCCACCCCAACAGCCUCUGUCGUAAGUGCUUCCUAGUUUAAGGUCCUCUUUCGCUUCGCUGUUGCCGUCGUCUUCUGCCCCGCUCCACUCCGUCCGGCUUCUACACCUUUCCUACCCACCACCCUUCCCUAG
rnacentral:misc_RNA from 1 species